rfam:Streptomyces sp. 769, complete genome.
GGGCCGCCCCCGCCGAGUCCGGUCCUGCCGUCAGGCACCCGGAGCCGGGGACCCACAAGCACCACUGGGGUGAAUCGACCGGUGCGGCCGUCGCCAGGCGGACGCAGCGGUCGUAGGGCAAGCCUUCCGUCAGCACACCGCCCGAACCCGACAGCUAACCCGGUAGGCGGUCCACGGAAGGAGUC